rnacentral:rRNA from 1 species
AACGGCCCACCUAGUCUUCGAUGGAUAGGGGUUCUGAGAGGAAGGUCCCCCACAUUGGAACUGAGACACGGUCCAAACUCCUACGGGAGGCAGCAGUGAGGAAUAUUGGUCAAUGGGCGAGAGCCUGAACCAGCCAAGUAGCGUGAAGGAUGACUGCCCUAUGGGUUGUAAACUUCUUUUAUAAAGGAAUAAAGUCGGGUAUGUAUACCCGUUUGCAUGUACUUUAUGAAUAAGGAUCGGCUAACUCCGUGCCAGCAGCCGCGGUAAUACGGAGGAUCCGAGCGUUAUCCGGAUUUAUUGGGUUUAAAGGGAGCGUAGAUGGAUGUUUAAGUCAGUUGUGAAAGUUUGCGGCUCAACCGUAAAAUUGCAGUUGAUACUGGAUAUCUUGAGUGCAGUUGAGGCAGGCGGAAUUCGUGGUGUAGCGGUGAAAUGCUUAGAUAUCACGAAGAACUCCGAUUGCGAAGGCAGCCUGCUAAGCUGCAACUGACAUUGAGGCUCGAAAGUGUGGGUAUCAAACAGGAUUAGAUACCCUGGUAGUCCACACGGUAAACGAUGAAUACUCGCUGUUUGCGAUAUACUGCAAGCGGCCAAGCGAAAGCGUUAAGUAUUCCACCUGGGG